rnacentral:piRNA from 1 species
UGGCUCGGCUGGAAGCUGAGAAGGC